UAAGGAAUUUUGGACAAUGGGCGCAAGCCUGAUCCAGCCAUGCCGCGUGCAGGAUGAAGGCCUUCGGGUUGUAAACUGCUUUUGUACGGAACGAAAAGGUGCCUUCUAAUAAAGGGCGCUCAUGACGGUACCGUAAGAAUAAGCACCGGCUAACUACGUGCCAGCAGCCGCGGUAAUACGUAGGGUGCGAGCGUUAAUCGGAAUUACUGGGCGUAAAGCGUGCGCAGGCGGGUUUGUAAGACAGAGGUGAAAUCCCCGGGCUCAACCUGGGAACUGCCUUUGUGACUGCAAGGCUGGAGUGCGGCAGAGGGGGAUGGAAUUCCGCGUGUAGCAGUGAAAUGCGUAGAUAUGCGGAGGAACACCGAUGGCGAAGGCAAUCCCCUGGGCCUGCACUGACGCUCAUGCACGAAAGCGUGGGGAGCAAACA
rnacentral:rRNA from 1 species